rnacentral:rRNA from 1 species
AGUGAACGCUGGCGGUAGGCCUAACACAUGCAAGUCGAACGGCAGCACAGUAACAGCUUGCUCGUACGGGUGGCGAGUGGCGGACGGGUGAGGAAUACAUCGGAAUCUACUUUUUCGUGGGGGAUAACGUAGGGAAACUUACGCUAAUACCGCAUACGACCUACGGGUGAAAGCAGGGGAUCUUCGGACCUUGCGCGAUUGAAUGAGCCGAUGUCGGAUUAGCUAGUUGGCGGGGUAAAGGCCCACCAAGGCGACGAUCCGUAGCUGGUCUGAGAGGAUGAUCAGCCACACUGGAACUGAGACACGGUCCAGACUCCUACGGGAGGCAGCAGUGGGGAAUAUUGGACAAUGGGCGCAAGCCUGAUCCAGCCAUACCGCGUGGGUGAAGAAGGCCUUCGGGUUGUAAAGCCCUUUUGUUGGGAAAGAAAAGCAGCAGGUUAAUACCCCGCUGUUCUGACGGUACCCAAAGAAUAAGCACCGGCUAACUACGUG